rnacentral:rRNA from 1 species
UCUUUUCCUUUUUUUCCAGCCGCCGCGGUAAUACGUAGGUGGCAAGCGUUGUCCGGAAUUACUGGGUGUAAAGGGAGCGCAGGCGGGAAGCCAAGUCAGCUGUGAAAACUACAGGCUUAACUUGUAGACUGCAGUUGAAACUGGUUUUCUUGAGUGAAGUAGAGGUUGGCGGAAUUCCGAGUGUAGCGGUGAAAUGCGUAGAUAUUCGGAGGAACACCGGUGGCGAAGGCGGCCAACUGGGCUUUAACUGACGCUGAGGCUCGAAAGUGUGGGGAGCAAACAGG